UGUGUGUGUGUGUGUGUGUGUGUGUGUGUGUGUGUGUAUAUAUAUACACACACACAUAUAUAUAUAUACACAUAUAUA